CUUACCUUAGUAAGGUUCAUUUGUUGAAACUAAGGAACAAACAUUAGUGCAUUGCUAUUAACUAAAGUCCAUAUUUUACUUACAUUUUCUUUGUUUUUGUCUAAUUUUUUUUUUUAUGUUCCAGUGUCCCAUCCUGGAUACCACAUUACCUUUAGUCGUCAUUUGUCCUAAGGAUCCUUUUGGCUGUGACAGUUUUUCAGACUUUGCUUUUGCUGGCCUUGAAAGUUUCAAAGAGUACUCAUCAGUCAUGUAUGGAAUACAGGUUACAUUGGAGGAAAACAUGCAACUCGAUCUAUUGUAUUUGUUAAAGUAAGCUAAGACAGGACAUAGGCUCUGGUAAAGAUUUUAUUACAACAAAAACACAAAUUGACAAAUUGGACCUAAUUGAACUACAGAGCUUCUGCACAACAAAAGCAACAACCAACAGAGUAAAUAGACAAUCUACAGAAUGGGAGAAAAUAUUUGCAAACUGUGCAUUCAACAAAUAUCUAAUGUAUAGAAUCUAUAAGGAGCUUAAACAAAUUAACAAGCAAAAAACCAACAACUCAUUAAAAAGUGGGCAAAGCACAUGAACAGAUACUUUUCAAGAGAAGACUUACAAGCAGCCAACAAGCAUAUAAAAAGAUGCUCAAUGUCACUAGUAGUUACAGAAAUGCAAAUCACAAUGAGAUACCAUCUUACACCAGUCAUAAUUGCUGUUAUUAAAAGGUCAAAAAAAUAACAGAUGCCUGCAAGUUUGCGGAGAAAAGGGAACACAUACACUGCUGGUGGGAAUGUAAAUUAGUUCAGUCAUCGUGGAAAGCAGCUUGGAGAUUUCUCAAAGAACUUAAAAGAGAAAUACCACUUGACCCAGCAAUCCCUUUACCGAGUGUAUACCCAGAAGAAUGUAAAUCAUUCUGCCAUAAAGACACAUGCACAUGUGUGUUCAUUGCAGCACUAUUCACAAUAGCAAAGACAUGGAAUCAACUAAAUGUCCAUUAAUGGUAGACUGGAUAAAGAAAAUGUGGUACAUGUACACCAUAGAAUACCACACAGCCAUAGUAAAGAAUGAGAUUGUGUCCUUUGCAGCAACAUGAUGGAGCUGGAAGUCAUUCACCUAAGCAAACUAACACAGAAACAGAAAACCAAAUCCUGCAUGUUGUCACUUAUAAGUGGGAGCUAAACAUUGAGUACACAUAGACACAAAGAAGAGAACAAUAGACAUCAGGGCCUAAUUGAGGGUGGAAGGUGGGAGGAGGGUGAGGAUCAAUAAACUACAUAUUGGAAAUUAUGCUUACUACCUGGGUGAUGAAAUGAUCUGUACUCCAAACCCCCAUGACAUGCAAUCUACCUACAUAACAAACCUGCAUAUGUACUCCUGAACUUAAAAUAAAAGUUUAAAAAUUUUUUAAUUAAAAAAGCAAGCUAAGACAUGAUGACACAUAAAUUUCAGAAUUCAAUGGCUUAAAGAACAAUGUUUAUUACUUUUUUAUGUAACUGCUUAGGGUGGGGAUAACAGGAACUACAAAGCCAUUUAAAGACCUAGAGUGAUGGAGGCUAUACCAUCUUCACAUUUGUCUCCCAGUAAAAUGUCUCCAAUGUUUAAAUGGAGGGGAGAGCAUGUACUGAAUAAUUGUAUGGGCCAGGCCUGAAAGUAGUAUAUACCUUGUAUGUUCACAUUCCAUUGACUAGAACUCAGUCACACAGCCAUAACUCUUCAGGGAGCCUGGAAAAUACAGCCCAGUUGUACCAGGAAAAAAGGGAGAAUGGAUUUUGGUGGACAUGCAGUCUGCCACAACUAGUAAAUGAAAUGAAGAAGUGUGUAAAUACAAACUUGCAGAAUAACAUCAUUGACAUGGUUUUAAAAAUGUCAUCUACCACCAGAGAUAACGAUGCUGUUGCUAGUGUUGGUUCUAGGCUGAAAUUUUAAUCAGAUAAUGUGUAGGGAAAUGCUUUGGAGGCUGUAAAGUUGUAAACAAGUGUGAAGUGUUAUAAUUAUUUCUCAUUUUAGCUUCAUGCAUUGAAAAAAAAUACAUAUUGAAAAUGUGUUAGCCCCAACAAUCAUAACUAACUUAGAAUUUGUUCAUUCUAAGAUGCACACUUUUUGAUGCUUUAUCAUCAUUGACAUCAGGACGCAUCUCUCCAUGUUGUCACGCAGCAGUUACAAUAAAGUUGUUAUUCCUUCAGCAUAUUCUCAAAGGCUUAACAAAUAAUCCUGUAGACCAAAAUGGAACACCCUUUUAAGUAAUGCUAUAUCACCAAUACCUUUAAAAGCAUGAAAAAAAUUG
rnacentral:lncRNA from 1 species